ACGCUGGCGGCAGGCCUAACACAUGCAAGUCGAGCGGUAGAGAGAAGCUUGCUUCUCUUGAGAGCGGCGGACGGGUGAGUAAUGCCUAGGAAUCUGCCUGGUAGUGGGGGAUAACGUUCGGAAACGGACGCUAAUACCGCAUACGUCCUACGGGAGAAAGCAGGGGACCUUCGGGCCUUGCGCUAUCAGAGGAGCCUAGGUCGGAUUAGCUAGUUGGUGAGGUAAUGGCUCACCAAGGCGACGAUCCGUAACUGGUCUGAGAGGAUGAUCAGUCACACUGGAACUGAGACACGGUCCAGACUCCUACGGGAGGCAGCAGUGGGGAAUAUUGGACAAUGGGCGAAAGCCUGAUCCAGCCAUGCCGCGUGUGUGAAGAAGGUCUUCGGAUUGUAAAGCACUUUAAGUUGGGAGGAAGGGUUGUAGAUUAAUACUCUGCAAUUUUGACGUUACCGACAGAAUAAGCACCGGCUAACUCUGUGCCAGCAGCCGCGGUAAUACAGAGGGUGCAAGCGUUAAUCGGAAUUACUGGGCGUAAAGCGCGCGUAGGUGGUUUGUUAAGUUGGAUGUGAAAGCCCCGGGCUCAACCUGGGAACUGCAUGCAAAACUGGCAGGCUAGAGUAUGGUAGAGGGUGGUGGAAUUUCCUGUGUAGCGGUGAAAUGCGUAGAUAUAGGAAGGAACACCAGUGGCGAAGGCGACCACCUGGACUGAUACUGACACUGAGGUGCGAAAGCGUGGGGAGCAAAC
rnacentral:rRNA from 1 species